UAGUUAUUCCUCUGACCAGCCAUUUCAGGAAAAAUAGCCCAAUUAUCUAUUCGCAGGCAAAUUGCUUGUAGUAUGAUCGAACACAAAUCCUCGAAAACGAUAGCUCUGUCC